rnacentral:rRNA from 1 species
CUACGUGCCAGCAGCCGCGGUAAUACGGAGGGUGCGAGCGUUAAUCGGAAUAACUGGGCGUAAAGGGCACGCAGGCGGUUAUUUAAGUGAGGUGUGAAAGCCCCGGGCUUAACCUGGGAAUUGCAUUUCAGACUGGGUAACUAGAGUACUUUAGGGAGGGGUAGAAUUCCACGUGUAGCGGUGAAAUGCGUAGAGAUGUGGAGGAAUACCGAAGGCGAAGGCAGCCCCUUGGGAAUGUACUGACGCUCAUGUGCGAAAGCGUGGGGAGCAAACAGGAUUAGAUACCCUGGUAGUCCACGCUGUAAACGCUGUCGAUUUGGGGAUUGGGCUUUAAGCUUGGUGCCCGUAGCUAACGUGAUAAAUCGACCGCCUGGGGAGUACGGCCGCAAGGUUAAAACUCAAAUGAAUUGACGGGGGCCCGCACAAGCGGUGGAGCAUGUGGUUUAAUUCGAUGCAACGCGAAGAACCUUACCUACUCUUGACAUCCA